rnacentral:lncRNA from 1 species
AAGGUCAAACACGUUAGAAUCAUGCGUGCUCACAGUUAAAUAAAUUGCCUCGUAGUACAUGAAAAAGAUAAAUGAACGAGAGGAUUAAUCGGACAAUCUAUAUUAUAGGUAUGCACACGUGCGUGUGUACGCUUCACGUGCAUGAAAGAUAUUCGUGACUUGGUUUCCGACACUUAGAGAAUGAAUUUAUUCUCAGCUUUUCGUGCCAUCAUUGUGAGUUCGUCGCGACUCUCCACGUGUGACGCGCUUCGAUGAUUCCGACGGUAGCAGGGAACCGGGGAUCUCACUUUUCCUUCACCAGCAAACAUGCGAUACUCCUGUUACUUUUGAUGUGAGUGAGAGAAUAAAAAGCAUCCAACUACGUUGUACAAUGCAAGCGUCGGCGAUUUCACUUGUACUCUUUUGUACUUCUAGAAUAGGGAACAUGAGAUUUUGAUAUACGGACAGCAUUUUAUGCACGCCAGAGCACCGGAUACCGUAAGCUCACAUGAAACGCAAUUGACUUACAGCAAAGGAUAGAAGAAUCAUUCCUUUUAGUCAUUUCACGUUAUUAUCCGAUGGAAUUUAUGCGUAUAUGUAUUUCAAUCGCAUGAUCGUCGGAAUUCUAUCGUUAUGGAUCAGCCGUGCCUAUUACGUUUAUGCCGUUCCUCGGCGAUCGAGUUCGCGAUCAGUGAAGCUACAGGUUGCAGCGGGCCCUUCCAAAUAAGACUAUUAUAGUUGUCAGGGUCAAGGACCUGAACUGUACAGACUACACGGAAGAGUUUGAUGAAAGUUUGAGACUCUACGGACAAACGAUCAUGAAAGAAUACCAAGAUGUAUUCCCCACUCGGUGAAAGUGCAAUUCGACGAGGAUCAAAUAUAAUAAUGAAUCCUCUAAUAAAUUGUAGCAGGACAAGCGUACGUCUUUUCGCACGGAUUCAAACACUCGAUUGUAAUAAAGU